AGCAGCCGCGGUAAUUCCAGCUCCAAUAGCGUAUAUUAAAGUUGUUGCAGUUAAAAAGCUCGUAGUUGAAUUUCGGGACCACUAUGUCGGUCGUGCUUCGGUACGUACUGUCAUUAUUGGUUUCUCCCUUCUGAAGAACCUUGAUGUCAUUAAUUUGGUGUCUUGGGGAAUCAGGACUGUUACUUUGAAAAAUUAGAGUGUUUAAAGCAGGCUCGCGCUUGAAUACAUUAGCAUGGAAUAAUGAAAUAGGACGUUUGAUUCUAUUUUGUUGGUUUCUAGGAUCGACGUAAUGAUUAAUAGGGAUAGUUGGGGGCAUUAGUAUUCAAUUGUCAGAGGUGAAAUUCUUGGAUUUAUUGAAGACUAACUACUGCGAAAGCAUUUGCCAAGGAUGUUUUCAUUAAUCAAGAACGAAAGUUAGGGGAUCGAAGACGAUCAGAUACCGUCGUAGUC
rnacentral:rRNA from 1 species